CGAGAAACAACCCGGCCGCGGGCUUCGGCCGCUCCUUGAACCAAAAGCCGGGAGCGGGUCCCGCCCCGGAGGCCCGGUCCGCCGCGCCCUGGGCCCCCACCUUCAGGCUAAUAUGGCAGUGACAACAGUCACCUUGAAAGUCAUGCAUUGAAGAUGGCAGAGCUACCAUUAGCUUGGGUCCCUAAGUGACUAUAUGGAAUAGAGCACUGAAACCACCCUCCAACCUGGAGCACCUGCCAUGGAUUAAUUUUCGGCCGGAGCUGGGUUUGAACCCUCCACCUCCAGCAUAUGGGGCCGGCGCCCUACUCCUUU